rnacentral:lncRNA from 1 species
UAAGUAAAGUUCAUCUACAACAUCUAAAGCCGAGUAAAUGGAGACAGUUAAAUCAUCCCAUCACAAUAUGAUUCAUAACAUUUAAAACUCAUUUCAAUUCAUAUAAAACAAUUAAAUUUCAUCAAAAUAAUCAACAAGGCUUAUGAUUCUCUUAAAAACUUGGCUUGUGCGAAAACUCAUACUCGGGGACACCUUGGCCCGGGCAUCCAACCGAGUCCGCCAAGGAUGUUAAAACGACAUAUACCCAUAAAAUAUGUUUUUACUUUUAAAAUAUAGCCAUUCCUUGGUGUUGGCUGAAUUUCAUCCUCACGUGGUGGUUCGGCGUAAAGUGAAUUCUAAACUUACCUUAGGAGAUACCCUCCGUACCUCUCGUACUCAGGUAAAAUAUAACAGGUUUACCGUGCCCCUAUAAUAGGCUGGUCCACAAAAACCCGUCCACUGCAGUAAGCUAAUCAAAUAACCCACCAAAUCAAUAAAAAUUUCCACAGCAUGACAUGGCUAAUAUAAUAUUACCCAACUUGUCAAGGUAAAACAAAAUAGUUUAUAUAAUCCACAAACCACAAAUCCAGCCAUUCAUAACAUCACAUUGUUAUAAGCCAUCAAUUCAAACCGUAUGUCAAAACAUAUAUAUAACACAAGUAUAUAGUCUCCACUUACUCAAUUUCCAAAACCAGGAUUCAAUUUCAAACAAGUUAUAAAUCUCAUUUCGUUUGACCAACACUUCAAUUUUAAAACAUAAUAAUUUACAAUUUAAAUUCAUUUUUCUUUAAAAUCAUAAAAACAAGUAUAAAUUACUUUAGAUAGUUAAGAUGAUCGUCUAAUUAGUCACAAUAGCGAGAGUUUGGAGUACUCCUAUUCUUGGUCCUCGGGUACGAUAUCUUUACCCUUAUCAGAGGGCUCACCCCCUAUACAUAAUACACUACACGUAAUUCAAUAUAUUUGUGCCAAACUGUUAUAAAACUAUUUCAGGCUCUAUAUGAAUGCAUGAAAUUGAAUGAGAAUUGUUCGAAUAAUCACUUAAAGACGGUGUUCUAUGUGGGUUCAAUUAUGAUCGAACUAAAUUUGUAUUCGACCUAACUCGAACUAUACACUGUUGAAUUAACCAAAACAUCUUAUUCAACUUCAAAUAUAUUCAUUACACUUCCAAUAUUCCAAAUACACCAAAGUACCUCAAUGAGCUUGAUUGUGACUUUAUUCAUUGUAACCGAAAUUCAUUCUGAUUUCGAACUAACGUGCUAAUCAGUGUUAACAUAGUCCAAUAAAUACAUCUACAUCAUUAGAAAUCAAAUCUAUCAUCAACAUGUCAUCUAUAAAAUUCGGCCAAAGAGGGUUGUUGAAAGGCAUGUGAUUUUCUUGCUUGUUUUACAUGCCAAACAUCAUCAAACAACUAAAAACACUAAGAUAUCAUGAAAUCUAACAAAACCCAUCAUCAAAACCUCUCUCCCUAUGUUCGGCCAGUAAGUAUUCCCUCAUGGAAACUUGUGUUUCAUCCAUAGAAAAUGAAAAAGAAAGCAUGGGAAAGGUAGAUCUUAAGCUAAAAUUGAAAAAUCUUACCUUUGAUUGCUUUGUUCUUUGAAAUUCAACAAAUUUAUCUUGAAUUUUCUUCUCUAGGGUUUUUUUCUAUUCUUUUCUCUUUGUUCUUUGUUUUGGCUGGCCAUGAAAAGUGAAAUGGGAGAGUUUAUAAAGGAAAUUAUAAAAAUAUUAAAGCUUGACAUGUGUCACCAUGUGAUUGGUCCAUGUUUAAAACUUAACAAUUAAGCAUUUUCUCACCAGCAAAUAUAAUCUCUUAAUUAUCCAAAGUAUAAAAUAAUAAUAGGUGAAAUUCAUGGGCUUGACAAGUGUUAUGGUGGUGUAAAAUUUCAAAAAUUCCAAUUACGUCUUCAUGGACACAUAAAAUGACUAUUUUACCUUUAUGUUUGAAAAAAUGUCGAAAUUAAAAUUUUUCAUUUCUCAAAUUCAAAUCAUGAUCCAAUUAGUCAAACUUGGUCAAAAAUUUCAUCCAACAUUCCCAUUUUGCCCUUGGGUGGCAAAAUGACCAUUUUGCCUCUACAUUAUGAAAAUUCCUAAUUUGAUUCCAAAUUAAUCUUCGAACUCUGAAUCACCAUAUUAAGACAUUCUAAGGUUCAAUAAUUCUCAAAUACAUCCUAAAAUCUCUAUUCAAACUAGUUCGAGGUCUUAAUAGACUUAAUUGUACCACUAGGUACGAUACCGACUUUUAAAGAUUAUUCGAGGCAUCUCAGUAUGUAGAUAUGCUAUCAAGUACAUGAAUGACAUGGCAAGUAUAUUAUAGAGUUGGGCUUGACAGCACUACCCCCUUUAAAAUAAAAUUUUGAACUCAAAAUUUCACUUACCGAACUUGGAGAAAAGAUGCGAAUAUUGGUUUCUCAUCUGGUGCUCAACUUUCCACGUCAUCUCCUCCAUCCGAGCAUUUUUUCGCAACACCUUAACCAUUGGAAUGUUCUUAUUCCUUAACACUCGAUCCUUUCAAUCUAGAAUACGUACAGGUUGUACCUCGAACUUCAAAUCUUCUUGUAACUCAAUCGGAGGUGCCUCGAAGAUAUGGGGAGGAUCAAGUACAUAUUUCUUCAGCAUCGAGACGUGGAAGACAUUGUGAAUCCGAUCCAACUUCGGGGGUAAUUCUAGUAUAUAUGCCAUUGGCCCAAUCCUUUCAAUAAUACGAAAGGGUCUAAUGUAUCUCGGAUUGAGCUUUCUUCGCUUUGCGAACCGGAUCACACCUUUCAUUAUCCAACAAGAUACCACAAUUCAUCACAAUAAUAUAAUCAAAUAAGACUUAAUACCUCAAAGUAUUCAAAUCAUUACCUUUCCAAGGAGAGACCUUAAGAAAAACUCUACAUCAACUUCAAAUUCCAAAUCUUUUCUCGGUCUAUGUGAGUAACUUUUCUGCCUAUCUUGAGCUGUCUUUAAUCGCUCUCAGAUAACCUUGAUCUUGUUAUUAGUCAGAUCAAUCAGUUCUAUAUUAAACAAUUUCCUCUCACCCACUUCAUCCCAGCAGAGUGGAGUUCGACACUUUCUCCCAUACAGAGCCUCAUAUGGUGCCAUCCCAAUACUAGACUGAAAACUGUUGUUAUAUGCGAACUCCACCAACGGCAAGUGUCUAUCCCAACUCCCCGUAAAGUCAAUGACACAAGCCCGUAGCAUAUCCUCCAAAGUCUGAAUGGUCCUUUCAGAUUGACCAUCUGUCUGUGGAUGAAAGGCAAUGCUAAACCUCAAAUUAGUUUCGAGAGCAUCUUGGAAUUUCGACCAAAAUCAAUAAGUGAACCAGGGAUCUCGAUCUAACACGAUAGAAACUAGGACUCCAUGUAAUCUCACUAUCUCAUCUAUAUAAAGUUUAGCCAGUUUCUCAAUGGAAUACGUGCUAUAGAUAGCCAAGAAAUGGGCAAACUUAGUCAAUCUAUCCACAAUCACCCAAAUAGCAUCCUUCCCACUCUGCGUCUGCGAUAAACCCAAUACAAAGUCCAUAGUCACGUGCUCCCACUUUCAUUCAAGGAUAGGUAGAGGCUGAAGAGUACUCGAUGGUUUCUAAUGUUUCGCCUUAAUUUGCUGGCAUGUGAGACAUUUCGCUACAAACUCUGCUAUGUCUUAUUUCAUACCCGACCACCAGUAACUUUUCUUGAUAGUCCUAUACAUUUUGGUACUUCUGGGAUGUAAAGCAUAGGCGAAAGAAUGAGCUUCCUCCAAAAUAGCCCGUCUCAACUGAUCAUCUUUAGGGACACAAACCCGAUACCCAAGCAUCAAGAUACCAUCAUCACCAAGUCUGAACUCAUUAGUUUCUCCAUCCCAUAACUUUUGAACUUCCCAUUUCAACUCAUCAUCAGACUUCUGCAAUUCCUUGAUUUGAUUCAACAAUGAGGGUCUCACAACAAAGCUAGCAAGUAGGGUUCCAUCCUCGCCAUUACUCAAUUGGAUCCCUAGAGAUUUCAUCUUAAGUAGUAUCAGAUAAUAAGAAUUCCGAAGUGAUGUUAAUCAAGAUGAGGAUUUACGACUUAAGGCAUCUGCUACAACAUUUGCCUUUCCCGGAUGAUAAUCAAUUACUAAAUCGUAAUCCUUAAUUAACUCUAACCAUCGUCUCUGUCUCAAGUUAAGUUCUUUCUAGGUGAGCAAAUAUUUCAAACUUUUGUAGUCAAUAAAAAUCCGAUAACGCUCACCGUAUAAGUAAUGCCUCCAGAUUUUCACAGCAAAGACUACUGUUGCCAUCUCCAAAUCGUGGGUAGGGUAAUUCGUCUCAUGCUUUUUCAGCUGUCGAGAAGCAUAAGCUACUACUAUCUCAUCUUUCAUUAACACGUACCCUAAUCCUAAUUUAGAGGCAUCACUAUACACCACAAAUUCUUUCCCACUAACAGGAAGUGUCAAAACGGGAGCAAAGGUCAGUCGGUUUUUCAGCUCCUGAAAUUGACUCUUGUAGAUGUAAUCCCACUCAAAUUUGACUCAUUUACGAGUCAGACGAGUUAGAGGAGCAGCUAUCAAUGAGAACCCUUGAAAGAACCUCCUAUAGUAACCGGCUAAACAAAGGAAACUUCGAAUCUCUGUCACCGUCUUUGGUUGCUCCCACUAUAAGAUUGCCUCAAUCUUUUUGGGAUCGACAUAAAUUCCAACUCUAGACACAACAUGUCCUAAGAAAACCACUUCCUUCAACCAGAACUCACAUUUAGAAAAUUUAGCAUAAAGUUGUCUCUCGCGCAAGGUUUGUAACACAAUGCGCAAAUGGACAGCAUGUUCAUCAUCAUCCUUCGAAUACACCAGGAUGUCAUCUAUAAACACUAUCACGAACUUAUCCAAGUACGAGUGGAACACCUUGUUCAUGAAGUCCAUAAAAGUUGUCGGGGCAUUAGUCAAACCAAAAGGCAUAACCAAAAACUCAUAAUGCCUAUAACGAGUCCUGAAAGCAAUCUUGGGUACAUCUUGCUCCUUGAUCUUCAACUGAUGAUACCCAAACCUCAAAUCAAUCUUAGAAAACACCGUAGCACCCUGUAGUUAAUCAAAAAGAUCAUCAGUUCGUGGUAAAGGGUAUUUAUUCUUGAUGGUCACUCGGUUCAAUUGACGGUAGUCGAUACAUAACAGAAGAGUGCCAUCUUUCUUCUUUACAAACAAGAUUGGUGCACCCUAGGGAGAAGUACUAGGGCGAAUAAAACCCUUAUAUACUAAUUCUUGCAAUUGGACUUUUAACUCCUUUAACUCGAUUGGAGCCAUCUGAUACAGAGGAAUGAAAAUAGGUGUGGUAUCCGGAAGUAAAUCAAUAGAGAACUCAAGCUCUCAAUCAGGAGGUAGUCCCGAUAACUAAUCUGAAAACACAUUAGAGAACUCAUUUACUAUUAGGACAUCCUUUAACUUAGGUUCCCCCUUUGAGGUAUAAAUCACAUGUGCCAAAUAAGCAGGAUACCCUUUUCGCACUAGUUUCAAAGCUUUGAUAGCCGAGAUUACACAGGAUGGUAAUACUCGACGUUCCUUUACAAAUACAAUCUCUACUCCCUCAGAAAUUUGAAGUACAACUUCCUUCUUGAAACAAUCCACUUUUGCCCGAUAUGUAGUCAACCAGUCCAUACCCACUAUCAAAUCAAAAUCCUGAAUCUCUAAAGGAAUUAAGUCAGCCUUGAAUUCUUCCUCACCAACUCUUAUCCCACAAUCUCUGUAAUAGGUGUUUCUAAUCAACUGUUCUUCUAAAGGGGUAUGAACUACAAUUUUCUCUUCUAAAGGUGACAGGUUUCUAUCAUAAAAGAAUGCAAAUGUCGUGCUCACAUAAGAUCUAUCCGAACAAGAAUCAAUUAAGACAUAAGCAUCUUUGUCAAAUACAAACAUAGUACGUGUCACUACACUAGGUCAGACUCGUGCCUCUUCCUUUGUGUAAAACCGGACCCUAUAAAUACAUGUCAUAACAUACAUGCACUGAGUAGCAUGUUAUUAUGCUAGGAAAGUCCCUAAGAAUAGACAAAACCCGAUAUUGUACCUAACGGUACACUUGAAUUGAUUUAACCUCGAACUAGUUCAAAUAGGAAUCGUAGGAUGAAAUUUAAUAUUUUAUAGUCAAGGAAUGACUAAAAAUGAUUGUUCGGAGUUCAAGGGUUCAUUUGGAGAAAAAUGGAAAAUUUUGAUGUUCAGGGGUAAAAUCGUAAUUUUUCCACCCGUAGACAAAAUUUGAGAUUUUGAGAGAAUUUAGAUCACAUUUGACAAAUGGGAGAAUGGUAUGAGUAUAAGGGAUGAAAAAUACGUCUAUGGGCAAUUUUUCAGUUUUUGGGGUAAAAAUGUAAUUUUUGACUUUUACGGGGGCAAAAGUGUAAAUUUCAAAAAUUACUCCACCAAGACUUUGGAUAAGUCUGAGAAUUUUAUCUAAGCUAUGGAUAUGUGGGACAAGUGUAUGGUGAAAAUUUGGAAACAAAUGGAUGAAAUUUAAAAAACGGACCAAUGGGAAAAUGACACAUGGCAUUUUUUUAAAUAGUUUAAUAUUAUUUUAAUGAAAAGUCAGCCCAUUUAAACCCCAUUUUAAGUGAUGGGCGGCCAUAAGAAAGAACAAGAGAGGAAAUAGAGAGGAAAGAAAGAAAAGAAAGAAGACAAAGGGAAACUAGAAAAAUUCAAAGGGAAAUUCGAGUUUUUCGCCCGUUUAUCCGUCUAAUGGUAAGAUUUUUCAACUUUAGCUUGAUUUCUACCUUUCCUAUGCCUUUGUUUCCAUUUAGCAUGCUUGAGGAGAGAGAUCUAAAAGUGACAUCAAGGGCUGGCCGAAUUUCAAGGGGGGAGAAAUUGAAAUUUUUAGGUAAAUUGAUAGUUUUAGUUAGUUAAAUGUGUUUAGAAAUUAAAUUGGGCAAGAAGGCAUUAAAUUUUCACAAUACCCACCCUUGGCCGAAUCUGCAAUGAGGUACAAUGAUGAUAAUCUGAUUUUUAUUCUAAGAGAAAUGAAGAGAAAAUGAUGAAAAAUGGUUAAAUGUGAUAGAAAAACAAAGUGGAAAAUUAACCGAGUUAAUGUCCCAUUUUUGGCCGAAUUUUCCAAAGGAGAGAAUGAGCUGAUUUUGGUGAUUUUAGAGGAAUAUUGGCUGAUAAUUAAUGGUUAGAAAUGUUGGAGAGAGAAUGGGACAAUUUAGAGCUAAAAUGGAGCGCGUUAACAAUUUAUCGGGUAAAGUGUCAAAAAUAGGUUAAUACCACGUUUAAGCCGUUUUUGGCUAUUGCAUUUCAUACCAUGCAUUAGUAUAGGAUUUAAGUCAAAUAUAUAGUGAUUUAGCAUUAAUGUGAUGAAUUGAGUAAAUUUUUGCAAUGUGUCUAGGAGGAGAGCCUUUCUGUAAAGGCAAGAAAAUCGUACCCGACGAGUAGUUAUCGGGGCACCUAAAAAGCUUUUAGUUUGUACAAACGGUGAGUAAACUUAUUAUUAUUGUAAAUUAUCUAGAGUUUAUUUUUAAAUGCUCUUUGUGUAUUUUAUGAAAUGAAAACGAGAUUAAAAUAGGAUUUUUGAUGUUUUAAAAAUAAAUGUGACAAAUAAAGAUAUAUUGUGUUGAUUAUGAAAUUGAGUAAUUGGAGGCUGUUAACUGUCUUGAAAAUUAUAUAUUUUCCUAUGAAUGGCUUAUGAGAUAUGAGCGUAUGUGGCUAUAUUUUGUAAGUGUAUUGGGAAAUUUAUGUAAGCUGUUUUUACUAUGCAGGCUGGAUAAAUAAAUAAAAUCACGUUAUACUGUCGAAAUUUUAUUAAAAUUGGUGGGUAGUCACUGCAGUGACGGGUUUUCGUGGACUGCCUAUUAGAGGGGUACGGUAAACUCGGUUAUAUAGUUACUCCGGUUGUAGAGGCGAGGAGGGUAACUCUUGGGGUAGUAUUAGAGCUCACUUCACGUCGAACCCCUACGUGAAUGUGUAACUCGACCAACGCCAAGAAACGACUUGUUUUAAAAAUAAAAAUGUGUUUCACAUGUAAAUGUUAUAACAACCUUGGCAGACUCGGUUAGAUGCCUCGACCAAGGUAUCCUCGAGGAUUAGUUUUGGCUUGAGCCUUGUUUUUAAUAAAAGACAUAAGCCUUAACAACUGUUUUGGUAAAUUACAAAUAUUUUAUGGUUUAAGAAAUAAAUUGAAAACAUUAUGAAAUGGUUCGUAAUUUGUUGUUUAAACUUGCCUCCAUUUUACUCGCCUUUAGAUAUUUAUGAUAAUGUCUGUUUACUCAUUGGGAUUGCAAAAUCUCACCCACCUCCUUUCCAAACAUUUCAGGUCUGUGGUAGGUUGUAGAUACCCUAUUUUGUCGAGGAUUCCAGUUGACAUAUCUACCACACAGACAAUAGGUUUCUAGCACCAACACUGGGUGUAUUUUGGGCCACUUGUCAUUGUAACCAUUAUUGUACAUUAUAACUUAGUAAAUUUUUGUAUGUAUGAAUUUAUUUUACUUACACAUUACAAAAGAUUUCUUACAUGUGUUUCUAUAAAUAUUGUUUUAUAUAAAAAUGCUAUAUUUUAAUCAAUAUUUUGAAUAGUAAUAUUUGUCUAUAAAUCCUUUUUUUUAAAAAAAUUAUCUUUGGAUUUAUUUGAGCCGGAAACAACCGAUAAUUGUUUAAAAUGGAAUGUUUAACAACGAUUGCUCACAGGAAAGGAAAGAAACUGAUAUGUAAGCCUUGCGGGGUUCCAGUUGGCAUUUCGGGUAAUGAAUGUCAAUCGGGACGUCGCGACGGUUGUCAUGGACUUGAGGGAGGUUCCGGGUUGUGACACUUUGUCACAGCAAAAACUCUCGUCGGAGUAUGAGUUUGUGGUCUAGAGGGUGUUUCAAACCCAGCUCGACAAUAUAUUUACUAUGCCAUUCUUACAUAAGAAUGCAUGUUUGCUUCAUUGGGUACCUCGAAAAUCGUUAAAAGACGACAAUGUACCAAAUAGUACAACUAAGUUGAUUUAAGCCUUGAACUAGUCCAAAUAGAGAUUUUAAGAUGAAAUUGAGAAUUUUAAAACCCUAGAAUGACUUAAAAUGGUGAUUCGGAGUUCGAGGACCGAUUUGGAGUCAAAUUGGAAUUUUCAUGAUCUAGGGGCAAAAUGGUCAUUUUGCCACCCAAGGUUAAAAUUAGAAUGUUGGAAGAAGUUUUUGAUCAAGAUUGACUAUUUAGAACAUAAUUUGAGUUUGAGAAGUGAAAAAUUUUAAUUUCGCCAUUUUUUCGAGCAUAGGGGCAAAAUAGUCAUUUUGCCACCCCAAGGGUAAAAUUGUAAUUUUGCACCACCCAACACUUGUCCAGCACAUGGAUUUUACCCAAUAUUAUCAUGGAUAAUUGAGAAAAUUUAAGUGGUGGAGAAAGAUUGCUUAAUGGGUAAGUAUGACACAUGGACCAAUGGAAUGGUGACAUGUGUCAAAUUCUCAUCCAUUUAUUAUUUUCCCUAUAAAUUAGUACAAAAUCAGCCCAUUUCUCUUCAUAUGGCCAGCCAAAGGAAGAACAAAGGAAGAAAAGAAAGAGCAAGAACCCUAGAGUGAAAAUUCAAGAGAAAAAUUGGUGGAUUUCAAGUAAUCAAGCAAUCAAAGGUAAAAUUUCUUGAUUUUGACUUGUGAUCUACCUUUCCCAUGCGUUCUUUUGCAUUUUCCAUGGUUGAAUCACAUGAUUUCAUGAUGGGUAUCUUGCUGGCUGAACAUUUAGAGAGAGAGGUUUUGAUGUUUGAUUUGGUUAGAUUUUAAGAUAUUUUAGUGUUUUUAGUUAGUUAGCGAUGUGUAGUAUGAAAAGCCAACAAGAAAAAUUCAUUCUCUCCCACACCCAUCAUUGGCUAAAUUCUCCAUGUGGAAUAUUGAGGAUGAUUUUGAUUUUAUUUCAAGUGAUUUUGUUAGGAAUUAGUGAUUUAUGGUGUGAGAAUCAAGUAGGAAAAAUCAUAGUAUUGAUGCACCCACCAUGGCCGAAUAUUCCAAGAGAAAAUGUGAGGAUGAUUUUGCCAUAUUGCGAGUUAUUUAAUUUGUGUUUGAUGAUUUGGAGUAUUGGGAGAAAAAUGGAAUUAUUUAGAGUUGAAUUGGACGUAUUGGCCAAUUAAUUGAGUGAUAGAUCGAAUUAGGCCAAUACCGUUUUAUUUAGGUACACAAUUGAAUUUGUGUAGAACACUGUGUUUAGACAAUAAUCUGAACAAUUUACAUCCCAUUUCAUGCAUUAGUAUAGAGCCUGAAUUGGUUUUAUAACAAUUUAGCACAAAUGUAGUAAAUAGCUUAUUGUGCAUAAUGUCUAGGUGGUGAGCAUUCUGGCAAAAGUAAAGAGAUAGUACCCAAGGAUCAAGAAUCAGAGUACUUGGAAUUCGACUCCCGAAAUAGUGAGUAACCUUACUAUCGUCUUAAUUAUCUAAAGUGGUUUUAUCCGAUUUUGUGAUUUUAUGAAAAAUGAGUUUAAAUGGUAAAUCUUUAUGUUUUAUAAGCAAAAUGAGAUUAAAUGAAAAUCAUUUUAUAAAAUUGUCUUGAGAUUGAAUGAUGGUUUUGAAAAUAGAGUAAUUGGAGACUGUUUUCAUGUGUUAUAAAUUCAUGAUUUGAAUCGAAUGGCUUAUGACAAUAUUUGCAUGAAUGGUUGAAUUGGUAUUUGUGUUGAAAUAUAUGAACUAUGUAUUUAGCCUUGAGAGGCUGGAUUGUGAUAUAAUUUCCAUGUCAUGCGGUUGAGAUUUUAUUGAAUUGGUGGGUUUAGCUUGCUGUAGUGGGCUGGUUUUGUUGACUAGCCUAUUAGAGGGGCACGGUAACCCUGUUAUAUUCUUAACUCGAUCAGAGAGGCUUGUAGGGUAACUCCCGAGGUACACUUUUAGAGUUCACUUCACGCCAAACCACCACGUGAGGGUGAACUCAGCCAACGCUAAGGAACGACUAUGUUUUCAAAAUAAAAACAUGAUUUAUGCGUACAUAAAUUUUUAAUAGCCUUGGCGGACUCGGUUGGGAUAGCCCCAAGACAAGGUAUCCUUGAUAACUGAGUAUGAGAAUGAUUUUGGCACAAGCCAAAGUUUUAAGAAAUUCAUAAGCCAUGUUGAUUACUCGAUUUAUAUGAAUUGAUUUUAUUUGGUUAAAAUGAGUUGAAAUGUGAUAAAUUACAGUAUAAUGAUCUAUUUUAAUCUGUCUCCAUUUACUCAGCUUUAGAUAUUUUAGAUGGCAUUUGUUUACUCAUUGGGAUUAUAUAAUCUCACCACCCACCUUUCCACCCAUUUUAGGUUCAGGAUAGUCGGUAGAUAGCUCAUUUUGUUGAGGGCUACAGUUGGACUUGCAUCCUCAAAAACUGUAAGUUCAUAGCCUUCAUUACUUUUGGUCUUUCGUGGACCCACGUGUCACUGUAAAUCAAAUUUCAUACUUUGGUUAUCUGUAUUACGGUAUGUAUGAAUUUAUUUAGCUUUUAUGCUAGAAAAAUUAUUUACCGGUAACUCUAUAAAUAUUGUUUUAUAAGAAAACAGAAUAUUUUAUUGAAUAUUUUUAUUAUAUUCAAAAAGUUAUAGUUUCGCUUUAAAUGAAUGUUUUAGAUAUCUAAACUUAUUUUUUAUUAUGAAAUAUGUGUUUUCCACUCGCAUACUACAUUUUUAGCUGGUUUCGAAAUUUUAGAGGAAAAAUGACCAAAAUGCCCCUGUGAGCGAAAAAUUAUUUUUCUAUUGUUUUGAUUUGGAAAUAGUUUAUAAUCUCUCAAAACAUGAUACUUAACAACUGUUGCUCGCAGGGGAGGUGCGAAAACUGAUAUUAAAACCUUGCGGGGUUCUGAUUGACAUUUUGGGUAAUGAGUGUCGAUCGGGACACCGUGGCGGUUGUCACGGGCUCAAGGGGAGUACCGGGUCGUGACAGGGUGGAUGAGCAGGGGGAUUACUCCCCACACUGGACUGCAUCACUACACCCUAUCUCGACUGUGACCUAGAAAAAUCUCUUCUCUGAUUAUCGGUGCGAACUUGGGGAGAUGGAAUAGCUGCAGUAGCUUGUCCUAACUGCGGACAAGCACUCUUCAUGUGACCGUGUUGGCCACAUUGAAAACACCGUACGGGCUCUCUACACGGCUCGGUAUGAAAUCUCUCACAAUUUUGGCAUCUGUCAAAACUCUCAAAACUCUUCCCAAGAGCAUUCGUCGUUGAUAUACUGAAUCUAGGAGACUUUGUUGCAACUGUUGAGAUAGGGGUCUAGUAUAUGCUACUGAAGCAGUGGUAGCGUUCCCUGAAGUAGAUAAAUCCUUGCCCUUUUUUGAUGGCUGACUGAAAGAUUAAUUAAGAUUCCUCCUCUUAGCAAGCUCGGCUCGAAUUCUCCUAUUCUCAAUCGCGAGCUUCUCAGCCCGUAGAGCCAUCUGCAUAACCUUUUUAUACAGCUCCUUACCCGCUACUAUCAUACGAUCUCUGAUUUCAUUUCGGAGCCUUUCCUCAAAGUAGUUAGCCUGAUCCUGCUUAACCUUCACCAGAUCAGGCACAUAAGACAUUAGCUUAUUAAAACGAGCCUCACACUCCUCUAUUGUCAAACUCCUUUAUUUCUGACUCAAUAAUUUCCUAUUCUUUUCCUUUUGAUGAAAAUAAGUAUAACACUGGCCGUCGAACUCUCGUAAAAAAUUUGACCAGGUCAAAGGAGUUGUAGAACGAGAUUUCAUUGAGUUCCACCAAGUACGGGCCCUCUUCUCAAGCAGUCUAGUGGCCACCAUCAGUUUCAUAUCAUCUUCUAGUUUCAUAUCAGUAAUUGUCUCCGAUACUUGAAUGAUCCAGUCUUUAGCUGCGGUUGCAUUCAGAUCACUAGUAAAAGAAAUGCAACCGAGUUGCCUAGCCUCCUUAAGUUUCUUAGAAAUGGAGACAUUAGGUACCUGUGGUGGAAUAGGAGGUGGGGGUGGUGAUGGCACUAAAGGAGCGGCCGGAGGAACAGUAGGAGGAGCUUGACCAGCCUGAGCUUGGCUAGUAAUAGUAGUGUGAAAGGCAACCAAUGCCUGAACUGCCUUAGGAGGCAUGGCAAGAAUACCAGUAGGUGGUGGAGAAGGUGGAGGAUGUGGAGGAGUCUCAGUCUGUUCAACAGCAGGUGCUGCUCAAAAAGUAGAUGCAGUCGAUUCCCCCUUUACAAGAUCUGGCUGACGAUGUUGAGAACGACCUUUUCCCCUCCUAACUGCUCUAGAGAGAGGUGGGCAUCCACGUCGAUAAGGCAUAAUGAUUUAUCAAAAGAGACAAAACGAAUUUAGACAACUUUAGGUUCUAUAUGCAAUUGUAUGCAUUCAACUCAAUCUAAUUUAACUUGGGGCCACAUUGACACUGUAGUUUUAAAAUAACUUUAAAACCAAAAACUCUGAUACCAAUCGAAUUGUCACGACUCGGUACUCCCUUCGAGCCCAUGGCAACUGCCGCGAUGUCUCGAUAGACAUUCAUUACUUGAAAUAUCAACCAAAACCUCGCAAGGCUCUUGCAUCAAUUUUAUGUCUCCCUUGUGAGCAACAAUUACUAAAUAUCAUGUUUUAAGGGAAUAUAAAUAAUUUUUAAAUAAAAAGCAAAUAAAAUGUAAUUUUUGCCACACAGGGGUAUUUUGGUCAUUUUUACUUGAAAAUUUUGAAUCCUUGUGAAAAUACAGCAUACGAUCAAAAAAUAUACAUUUCUUAUCUAAAAAUAAUUUUAGUAAUCUAAAUCAUCCAUUUAAAAUUAAAUCAUGGCUAAUGAAACUAAAUAAAAAUAUUAAAAAAAAUAUUUCAUUUUCUUAUAAAACAAUAUUUAUAGAAUCCUGCAUAAACAAUUUUUGUAGCGUAAGAGUAAAAUAAAUUCAUAUAUAUAAUAGCACACUAAACCAGGUAUACAAAAAUAUUCUACAAUGACAUGUGGACCCCAAAAUAAUCGAAAAUUUACAAGACUGUAGACCUUCGAUUUCUAAGGAUGCAAAUCCAAAAGCAACCCUCGACAAAAUCGGUUGUCUACAGACUGUCCUGAGCUUGAAAUGGAUAAAAAGAAGGGGUGAGUUUUUUAAACCCAGUGUGUAAGCAAAGUUCAUCUACAACAUCCAAAACUGAGUAAAUGGAGACAAUUAAAUCAUCCCAUCACAAUAUGAUUCAUAACAUUUAAAACUCAUUUCAAUUCAUAUAAAAAAUUACAUUUCAUUAAAAUAAUCAACAAGGCUUAUGAUUAUCUUAAAAACUUGGCUUAUGACAAAACUCAUGCUCGGGGAGACCUUGGCCCGGGCAUCCAACCGAGUCCGCCAAGGAUGUUAAAACGACAUAUACCCAUAAAACAUGUUUUUACUUUUAAAAUAUAGCCAUUCCUUGGCGUUGGCUGAGUUUCAUCCUCACGUGGUGGUUCGGCGUGAAG